rnacentral:misc_RNA from 1 species
UUUCCGUAGGUGAACCUGCGGAAGGAUCAUUAAAGAAUCGCCCCGUUUUUUAUAAAUGGGUUCUAUUCCCAAACCGUGUAUACAUACCUUUGUUGCUUUGGCAGGCCGCCUCCGGGCGUCGGCUCCAGCUGAUAGUGCCUGCCAGAGGACCCAAACUCUGUGUUUAGUGAUGUCUGAGUACUAUAUAAUAGUUAAAACUUUCAACAACGGAUCUCUUGGUUCUG